rnacentral:misc_RNA from 1 species
GAAAUGCGAUAAGUAAUGUGAAUUGCAGAAUUCAGUGAAUCAUCGAAUCUUUGAACGCACCUUGCGCUCCUUGGUAUUCCUUGGAGCAUGCCUGUUUGAGUAUCAUGAAAUCUUCAAAGUAAAUCUUUUGUUAACUCAAUUGGUUUCUACUUUGGUAUUGGAGGUCUUUGCAGCUUCACACCUGCUCCUCUUUGUUCAUUAGCUGGAUCUCAGUGUUAUGCUUGGUUCCACUCGGCGUGAUAAGUUAUCUAUCGCUGAGGUCACUGUAAAAGGUGGCCAAGGUAAAUGCAGAUGAACCGCUUCUAAUAGUCCAUUGACUUGGACAAUACUUUUAUGAUCUGAUCUCAAAUCAGGAAGGACUACCCGCUGAACUUAAGC